UAGGGAAUCUUCCACAAUGGACGCAAGUCUGAUGGAGCAACGCCGCGUGAGUGAAGAAGGUUUUCGGAUCGUAAAGCUCUGUUGUUGGUGAAGAAGGAUAGAGGUAGUAACUGGCCUUUAUUUGACGGUAAUCAACCAGAAAGUCACGGCUAACUACGUGCCAGCAGCCGCGGUAAUACGUAGGUGGCAAGCGUUGUCCGGAUUUAUUGGGCGUAAAGCGAGCGCAGGCGGAAGAAUAAGUCUGAUGUGAAAGCCCUCGGCUUAACCGAGGAACUGCAUCGGAAACUGUUUUUCUUGAGUGCAGAAGAGGAGAGUGGAAUUCCAUGUGGAGCGGUGGAAUGCGUAGAUAUAUGGAAGAACACCAGUGGCGAAGGCGACUCUCUGGUCUGCAACUGACGCUGGGGCUCGAAAGGAUGGGUAGCGAACAGG
rnacentral:rRNA from 1 species